CUGAUGGGGAAUUUCAGGAAAAAAUCUUGGGUUAGAAGCUGCCAAGUUGGAGCGGAAAGCAAUGAUACCUCAAGUUCCCCUUCUGAAGUUUUUGAAACUGUUCAAGAAACAGUAGGAUGAACAACUCUUGGUCAUUUUUUGUCUUUUUAUUCUGUGACUCUCAAGUUGAAAAGAAGAAAAAUAACCUGGAUUUACAAAUCAAUCAUGGGGCAAUAAUGAAUUGUAAACCUGUUGAAGAUGCGGAAAAGGUAAACGUGGAAUCAGAAUAUCCCAAGUUGGAAGUGACCCAUAAGGAUCAUCAAGUCCUACUCCUAAGGCCCCAGCCAUGGACCUGGCUGCCACCCACAAGAUCAAGCUGCCCAGAGCCCCAUUCAGCCUGGCCUUCAGCACCUCCAGAGAACAUCC
ensembl:lncRNA